GCCCGCCUAGCUCAUCACUGGUAGAGCGCCCGCCCCGUAAGCGGGAGGUGCCCGGAUCGAGGCCGGGGGUGGGCU
rnacentral:tRNA from 1 species